rnacentral:rRNA from 1 species
UGGCGAGUGGCGGACGGGUGAGGAAUACAUCGGAAUCUACUUUUUCGUGGGGGAUAACGUAGGGAAACUUACGCUAAUACCGCAUACGACCUACGGGUGAAAGCAGGGGACCUUCGGGCCUUGCGCGAUUGAAUGAGCCGAUGUCGGAUUAGCUAGUUGGCGGGGUAAAGGCCCACCAAGGCGACGAUCCGUAGCUGGUCUGAGAGGAUGAUCAGCCACACUGGAACUGAGACACGGUCCAG